AUCCAGUAAUGGGAACCCACCAGAGAGAUGUCCCCGUCCUCUGUAUUCCCAGGAUUCCACACAGGAAGAUAACAACUACGCACGCUGUUAUCAGGGUGACAAGCUGAAAUACGUAAAAGUUAUGAUUAAAACGGAAGAAGAAGAGACAUAUGUGACCGGCGAUCACUCAAUGUUAGAGGGUGCUAGGAUGAUGCCAAUUAAAGAGGAGGAAUCUUUCCAUAUCAUGAUGGAGAAUCAGCCGCCCCUCACAUCACCGGAUGGAUCCAGUAAUGGGAACCCACCAGAGAGAUGUC